UACGUAGGGGGCUAGCGUUGUCCGGAAUCAUUGGGCGUAAAGAGCGUGUAGGCGGCCCGGUAAGUCCGCUGUGAAAGUCGGGGGCUCAACCCUCGAAUGCCGGUGGAUACUGUCGGGCUAGAGUGCGGAAGAGGCGAGUGGAAUUCCUGGUGUAGCGGUGAAAUGCGCAGAUAUCAGGAGGAACACCGAUUGCGAAGGCAGCUCGCUGGGACGUAACUGACGCUGAGGUGCGAAAGCGUGGGGAGCAAACAGG
rnacentral:rRNA from 1 species